rnacentral:ncRNA from 22 species
AUGAGAAUCAAACUCCUAGCCUUGGUGCCUAAGUGAUGCGCUUAUUGCGCGUGAUACGGUGCCUUGGCCGUGGCCUUCGUGGUCACCAGGGUGCGAGGUAGAAAUGCCUGCAUCUCCCGUAUUUGGAAAGGUGUUUAUGGUGAGUCAAC